GACGAACGCUGGCGGCGUGCCUAAUACAUGCAAGUAGAACGCACAGUUUAUACCGUAGCUUGCUACACCAUAGACUGUGAGUUGCGAACGGGUGAGUAACGCGUAGGUAACCUGCCUGGUAGCGGGGGAUAACUAUUGGAAACGAUAGCUAAUACCGCAUAAUAUUGAUUAUUGCAUGAUAAUUGAUUGAAAGAUGCUAUUGCAUCACUACCAGAUGGACCUGCGUUGUAUUAGCUAGUAGGUGAGGUAACGGCUCACCUAGGCGACGAUACAUAGCCGACCUGAGAGGGGGAUCGGCCACACUGGGACUGCGACACGGCCCAGACUCCUACGGGAGGCAGCAGUAGGGAAUCUUCGGCAAUGGACGAAAGUCUUACCGAGCAACGCCGCGUGAGUGAAGAAGGUUUUCGGAUCGUAAAGCUCUGUUGUAAGAGAAGAACGGGUGUGAGAGUGGAAAGUUCACACUGUGACGGUAUCUUACCAGAAAGGGACGGCUAACUACGUG
rnacentral:rRNA from 1 species